AUGAAGCAUGACACUGUCAGAUACAGAGUUGCUUGGCUGCCCUUGAAAGCGGUCUGGUCCUGGUCAUGGUCAUGGUCCUGGUCAUGGUCCUGGUCCUGGUCCUGGUCAUGCCCUGACUCUGAUAUGGGUCUCAGUUCUUCUUGCCCAGUUCCACCCCUCCAGCUCCUGUCUUUUCUCUGCUCCAUUCCAUUCCAGCUCCUGUCUUUUCUCUGCUCCAUUCCAUUCCAGCUCCUGUCUUUUCUCUGCUCCAUUCCAUUCCAGCUCCUGUCUUUUCUCUGCUCCAUUCCAGUUUCUGUCUUUUCUCUGCUCCAUUCCAGUUCCACCCCUCCAGUUCCUGUAUUUUCUGUGCUCCAUUCCAAUGUACAGACAUUGCAAUUUAUUGCUCUAGCCACAUCUGCAGUCCAGAUGCCUCCUUGCAGCAUGCCUAAGGCACGUUCAUACAGAUGAGUAGGAACCCUGGGCAUCUUUCUUUUGGUGUUUUUCCAGAGUCAGUAGAAAGGCCUCUUUAGUGUCCUAAGUUUUCAUAACUGUGACCUUAAUUGCCUACCGUCUGUAAGCUGUUAGUGUCUCAACGACCGUUCCACAAGUGCAUGUUCAUUAAUUGUUUAUGGUUCAUUGAACAAGCAUGAGAAACAGUGUUUAAACCCUUUACAAUGAAGAUCUGUGAAGUUAUUUGGAUUUUUACAAUUUAUCUUUGAAAGAUCCUGAAAAGUUUAGUUGUGUUAGUUGUAUUACAUUAUGCAAAUGAACCAAUAUACUGAAAUAUGACAGUCAAUUGUAUUUACAUUGACUGGUAUUUACAUCAGUGAAUAAAACCAUUUUGCACUGGGAUUUUUUCUUCUUCAGGUCAGCUUCUAUCAGUUUUAACAGCUUUUCAUUAUCAGCCAAAAGCCGGCAAUUGCUGGCUAAUAGAAACCCUGCUGUGGAUUAGCAUGGAGGUGAUGAGUGACCGCCAGCACGUUAGACGACCCAUUAGAGUACAUGUUGACAAAAUUGGUGUGGGGUUUUACAUUUUUUGCCCUCGCAUGCUGCAGAGGCCGAGGGUGAGCCAGACAAUAGUCAGCAUAGGAGACCCCAACCACCCUAUAAGCAAUAUCCUCUCCAAGAAACAGACUGGUACAAGGCCCAUCCGCAUUCUUAUGUUAACGUACUCCGAUCAAAUCCUAAUUCAUCUGCUAAUCUUAUUCAGAUUAUUGUAUAACCUCUAAACCCCUGGCCUUGGCACUCAAGGAGCUCGUUUUUAAAACAGACAUAUUCAGUUGUUGGAAAAUGACUGAUCUCUUUUUGUUUUAAUUCAGUUUCCAUUUUUCACAUCUGUUUGUAGUAUGUUUAGUUCUCCUCACCUCUAAAUGAGCUGCACUAGGCAGAGCCUCACUGUCAUCUGAGAGAAAGCUAAAAUGAGGAAAUCCUCCACAUCCACACACAAUUCUAAAUGAAAGGAAACAGAUGGGUGGAGCGGAUGGGUGGAACUCCCAGGGAAAAUGUUACCAAAAAAUAUAGCUGCAAGCAGCAAUGAACGGGGUUCACAGGAUGACACAAAGGACAAGACAAGUUGGAUAACAAAGCAAGCACACCAUGUAGGAACAAUGUUAAUAUUUAUUUGCAAUCAGUGAACGCAUUACCAUGUUUAUCUCUCAAUAACACUAGUGCUGUAGGUAGCGUUUCACAGUAUACAACAUUAGUAUCUUAAAAUAUUGAGAACAUGUAACACAGUUCUGGGUAAAUUCUAUUUGAUAUUAAGAGAAUGGUCUCUUGGGAAACACAGGAACAUUGAUAUAAAAAUGUUAGUUAACCUCACUAGCAUCCCACCUGGCCAAUAUCCUGUGAAAUUGCAGAGCACUAAAUAAAAAAAAACAGAAAUACUAAUUAUAAAAAAUACAAGUGUUAUACAUUGGUUUAAAGGUGAACUUCUUGUUAAUCCAACCACAGUGUCAGAUUUCAAAAAGGCUUUACGGCGAAAGCAUACCAUGAGAUUAUCUGAGAACAGCGCCCAGCAGACAAAUCAUUUCAGACAGUUAGCAGCCAAGUAGAGGAGUAACAAAGUCAGAAAUAGCGAUAAAAUUAAGCACUUACAUUUGAUGAUCUUCAUAUGGUUGCACUCACAAGACUCCCAUUUACUCAAUAAAUGUUCCUUUUGUUCAAUAAAGUCCAUGUUUAUAUCCAAAGACCCCCGUUUUGUUCAGUAAUCCAGAGGCUCAAACGCAGUCACAACAGGCAGACGAAAAAUCCAAAUAGUAUCCGUAAAGUUCGUAGAAACAUUUGAAACGAUGUUUAUAAUCAAUCCUCAGGUUGUUUUUAGUCAUAAUAAUCAAUAUUUCAACCGGACAAUAACAUCGUCAAUAUAAAAGGUUAACAAAAAAGACAUGAAAAAGCUCUGGGACACUGCAAUGUCCACUCAUUCCGAGUGGUCUUACUCCCUUAUUUUUCAGAAUACAAGCCUGAAACCAUUUCUAAAGACUGUUGACAUCUAGUGGAAGCCAUAGGAUGUGCAAUUUGAGUUCUAAGUCAAUGGAUACUGUAAUGGCAUUCAAUAGAAAACUACAAACAUAAAAAAAUCCCCCUUCCUGGAUGGAUUUUUCUCAGGUUUUCACCUCCCCUAGAUCUGUGCCUCGACACAAUCCUGUCUCGCAGCUCUACUGACAAUUCCUCCGACCUCAUGAUUUGAUUUUUGCUCUCUCAACUGUGGGACCUUAUUUAGACAGGUGUACGUACGCCUUUCCGAAUCAUGUCCAAUCAAUUGAAUUUACCACAGGUGGACUCCAAGUUGUAGAAACAUCUCAAGGAUGAUCAAGGGAAAGAGCACCUGAGCUCAAUUUCAAGUCGCAUAGCAAAGGCUCUGAAUACUUAUGUAAAUAAGGUUUUAAUUUUUAAUAAAUGUGCCAUUUCUAGAAACCUGUUUUCGCUUUGUCAUUAUGGGGUAUUAUGUGUAGAUUGUCGAGGGAAAAUGCAUUGUAUAUACAGCAGUCACGAUAACAGAUUACCUCCCAAGAGUUAAGGGUCGGCAUUUGACCAUCAGCUUUAAUAAGUCCAGUUGGAAGGGCAAACAAUAGGUCAAGUUGGAGACUUUUGUUUAAUGUUAGAAUCACCUUUGUUAGA
rnacentral:lncRNA from 13 species